rnacentral:tRNA from 1 species
UGCAUCGGCCGGGAAUCGAACCCGCGUGGCAGGCGAGCAUUCUCGCCAUUGAACUACCGAUGC